GACAGAGGGUGCAAACGUUGCUCGGAAUACUGGGCGUAAAGCGCGUGUAGGUGGAUUGGUGUGUCAGAUGUGAAAUCCCUGGGCUCAACCCAGGAACUGCACCUGAAACUACCAGUCUUGAGUGGUGGAGAGGGAAGUGGAAUUCCUGGUGUAGAGGUGAAAUUCGUAGAUAUCAGGAGGAACACCAGUGGCGAAGGCGGCUUCCUGGACACCAACUGACGCUGAGACGCGAAAGCGUGGGAGCAAACAGG
rnacentral:rRNA from 1 species